GGUUUAGCUCAGUUGGUUAGAGUGUGGUACUAACAAUGCCAAGGUCGCAGGUUUGAUCCCUGUGUGGGCCA